rnacentral:rRNA from 1 species
UACGAAGGGGGCUAGCGUUGUUCGGAAUUACUGGGCGUAAAGCGCGCGCAGGCGGCUAUCCAAGUCAGUGGUGAAAGCCCGGAGCUCAACUCCGGAACUGCCAUUGAAACUGUUUAGCUUGAGUAUGAGAGAGGUGAGUGGAAUUCCCAGUGUAGAGGUGAAAUUCGUAGAUAUCAGGAAGAACACCCGUGGCUAAGGCGGUUCUCUAGUACGGUACUGACGCUGAGACGCGAAAGCGUGGGGAGCGAACAGG